rnacentral:rRNA from 1 species
GACGAACGCUGGCGGCGUGCCUAAUACAUGCAAGUAGAACGCUGAAGAGAGGAGCUUGCUCUUCUUGGAUGAGUUGCGAACGGGUGAGUAACGCGUAGGUAACCUGCCUUGUAGCGGGGGAUAACUAUUGGAAACGAUAGCUAAUACCGCAUAACAAUGGAUGACACAUGUCAUUUAUUUGAGAGGGGCAAUUGCUCCACUACAAGAUGGACCUGCGUUGUAUUAGCUAGUAGGUGAGGUAACGGCUCACCUAGGCGACGAUACAUAGCCGACCUGAGAGGGUGAUCGGCCACACUGGGACUGAGACACGGCCCAGACUCCUACGGGAGGCAGCAGUAGGGAAUCUUCGGCAAUGGGGGCAACCCUGACCGAGCAACGCCGCGUGAGUGAAGAAGGUUUUCGGAUCGUAAAGCUCUGUUGUAAGUCAAGAACGAGUGUGAGAGUGGAAAGUUCACACUGUGACGGUAGCUUACCAGAAAGGGACGGCUAACUACGUGCCAGCAGCCGCGGUAAUACGUAGGUCCCGAGCGUUGUCCGGAUUUAUUGGGCGUAAAGCGAGCGCAGGCGGUUUGAUAAGUCUGAAGUUAAAGGCUGUGGCUCAACCAUAGUUCGCUUUGGAAACUGUCAAACUUGAGUGCAGAAGGGGAGAGUGGAAUUCCAUGUGUAGCGGUGAAAUGCGUAGAUAUAUGGAGGAACACCGGUGGCGAAAGCGGCUCUCUGGUCUGUAACUGACGCUGAGGCUCGAAAGCGUGGGGAGCGAACAGGAUUAGAUACCCUGGUAGUCCGCGCCGUAAACGAUGAGUGCUAGGUGUUGGAUCCUUUCCGGGAUUCAGUGCCGCAGCUAACGCAUUAAGCACUCCGCCUGGGGAGUACGACCGCAAGGUUGAAACUCAAAGGAAUUGACGGGGGCCCGCACAAGCGGUGGAGCAUGUGGUUUAAUUCGAAGCAACGCGAAGAACCUUACCAGGUCUUGACAUCCCGAUGCUAUUUCUAGAGAUAGAAAGUUACUUCGGUACAUCGGUGACAGGUGGUGCAUGGUUGUCGUCAGCUCGUGUCGUGAGAUGUUGGGUUAAGUCCCGCAACGAGCGCAACCCCUAUUGUUAGUUGCCAUCACUCAGUUGGGCACUCUAGCGAGACUGCCGGUAAUAAACCGGAGGAAGGUGGGGAUGACGUCGAAUCAUCAUGCCCCUUAUGACCUGGGCUACACACGUGCUACAAUGGUUGGUACAACGAGUUGCGAGUCGGUGACGGCAAGCUAAUCUCUUAAAGCCAAUCUCAGUUCGGAUUGUAGGCUGCAACUCGCCUACAUGAAGUCGGAAUCGCUAGUAAUCGCGGAUCAGCACGCCGCGGUGAAUACGUUCCCGGGCCU